GACGAACGCUGGCGGCGUGCUUAACACAUGCAAGUCGAGCGGAAAGGCCCUGCUUUUGUGGGGUGCUCGAGUGGCGAACGGGUGAGUAACACGUGAGUAACCUGCCCUUGACUUUGGGAUAACUUCAGGAAACUGGGGCUAAUACCGGAUAGGAGCUCCUGCUGCAUGGUGGGGGUUGGAAAGUUUCGGCGGUUGGGGAUGGACUCGCGGCUUAUCAGCUUGUUGGUGGGGUAGUGGCUUACCAAGGCUUUGACGGGUAGCCGGCCUGAGAGGGUGACCGGCCACAUUGGGACUGAGAUACGGCCCAGACUCCUACGGGAGGCAGCGGUGGGGAAUAUUGCACAAUGGGCGGAAGCCUGAUGCAGCAACGCCGCGUGCGGGAUGACGGCCUUCGGGUUGUAAACCGCUUUCGCCUGUGACGAAGCGUGAGUGACGGUAAUGGGUAAAGAAGCACCGGCUAACUACGUG
rnacentral:rRNA from 1 species